rnacentral:rRNA from 1 species
UACAUAGGGGGCGAGCGUUAUCCGGAUUCAUUGGGCGUAAAGCGCGCGUAGGCGGCCGCCUAAGCGGAACCUCUAACCCCGGGGCUCAACCUCGGGCCGGGUUCCGGACUGGGCGGCUCGAGUGCGGUAGAGGAGAGCGGAAUUCCCGGUGUAGCGGUGGAAUGCGCAGAUAUCGGGAAGAACACCGAUGGCGAAGGCAGCUCUCUGGGCCGUCACUGACGCUGAGGCGCGAAAGCUGGGGGAGCGAACAGG